UACGUAGGGGGCAAGCGUUAUCCGGAAUUACUGGGUGUAAAGGGUGAGUAGGCGGCAUGGUAAGCCAGAUGUGAAAGCCUUGGGCUUAACCCGAGGAUCGCAUUUGGAACUAUCAAGCUAGAGUACAGGAGAGGAAAGCGGAAUUCCUAGUGUAGCGGUGAAAUGCGUAGAUAUUAGGAAGAACACCAGUGGCGAAGGCGGCUUUCUGGACUGAAACUGACGCUGAGGCACGAAAGCGUGGGGAGCGAACAGG
rnacentral:rRNA from 1 species